GAUGAACGCUAGCUACAGGCUUAACACAUGCAAGUCGAGGGGAAACGACAUCGAAAGCUUGCUUUUGAUGGGCGUCGACCGGCGCACGGGUGAGUAACGCGUAUCCAACCUGCCCACCACUUGGGGAUAACCUUGCGAAAGUAAGACUAAUACCCAAUGAUAUCUCUAGAAGACAUCUGAAAGAGAUUAAAGAUUUAUCGGUGAUGGAUGGGGAUGCGUCUGAUUAGCUUGUUGGCGGGGUAACGGCCCACCAAGGCUACGAUCAGUAGGGGUUAUGAGAGGAAGGUCCCCCACAUUGGAACUGAGACACGGUCCAAACUCCUACGGGAGGCAGCAGUGAGGAAUAUUGGUCAAUGGGCGAGAGCCUGAACCAGCCAAGUAGCGUGCAGGAUGACGGCCCUAUGGGUUGUAAACUGCUUUUAUAAGGGAAUAAAGUGAGCCUCGUGAGGCUUUUUGCAUGUACCUUAUGAAUAAGGACCGGCUAAUUCCGUGCCAGCCGCCGCAGUAACAC
rnacentral:rRNA from 1 species